AUUUUUGUCCCAGUUAAAGGUAAAUUUUUUCGAUAGAAAAAAUUGCAAGGGAAUCACGUUAAAAUCGUGAGCAGUACCCGCUGCUGUGAGUUCUUAUUUUUUUCGGAAUACCACGCCACUGUUCAUUUUAAUUGAAUGGGAAGGCUCACCGAAAAUAGAACAAGCCAGAAGACCUGCCUAAAACUAAAUUUUUCA
rnacentral:ncRNA from 2 species